GACGAACGCUGGCGGCGUGCUUAACGCAUGCAAGUCGAACGGAAAGGCCCUGCUUUUGUGGGGUGCUCGAGUGGCGAACGGGUGAGUAACACGUGAGUAACCUGCCCUUGACUUUGGGAUAACUUCAGGAAACUGGGGCUAAUACCGGAUAGGAGCUCCUGCUGCAUGGUGGGGGUUGGAAAGUUUCGGCGGUUGGGGAUGGACUCGCGGCUUAUCAGCUUGUUGGUGGGGUAGUGGCUUACCAAGGCUUUGACGGGUAGCCGGCCUGAGAGGGUGACCGGCCACAUUGGGACUGAGAUACGGCCCAGACUCCCACGGGAGGCAGCAGUGGGGAAUAUUGCACAAUGGGCGGAAGCCUGAUGCAGCAACGCCGCGUGCGGGAUGACGGCCUUCGGGUUGUAAACCGCUUUCGCCUGUGACGAAGCGUGAGUGACGGUAAUGGGUAAAGAAGCACCGGCUAACUACGUG
rnacentral:rRNA from 1 species